UUUGGUGACUUUACCUUCUACAAUUGGGAAUCUAAAAUUCUUAGAGAGGUUGGAAAUGAGAGGGUGCAUAUCGCUGGAGGUUCUUCCAACCGAUGUCACCUUGUUAUCUCUCGAAAUCCUCGAUCUUAGUGGUUGCUUACGUUUGAGAAAUUUUUCCUCGGAUUCCAUGGAGUAUCGAAAAGCUCUAUUUCGAAAACACGCGCGCCAUUCGCGAAUUUCGUUGUUGCAUUGAGAAUUUCUCGAGGCUCAUUGUACUCAAGAGUUGGAUACAAGGCAUCGUAGACUAGGACAAGUUGUCAUGACUCGUGUUCUUUGGACGGUUUUUGGAGGCUAUCAUGUUGCUUUUGGAGGACCAUUCCAACCGGGGUAAGUUAUUGUGCAGAACUUGGGUGGUUGAGUCCUUUUAGACUCAGGCAGAGCAACUAGCAUGAGUUCACGGACACUGUCACUGAUCAUGAUGAAUCAUGUUUAGAAGACUGGAAUAGGUAAUUUUUGUACAAACUGAUAUAAGCUGAAAUCGAUCAUUAGCCUUAUAUUUAGUGAUUACCUCUUGAACCUUAAUGUAAUCUUCUUAUAUACUACUUAUCAAUGUGAAUUAGUAGUGUUGUUUUCUGUUUGUGGUAAUGUUUAUUAGUCCGACAGUAUUGAUAUUAAAUCAGUUAUUUGUUUUAUCUAUAUUGCAAUGUUCUAUGUUUUUAUUAGUCCACGCAACAAUUUUAAUUUGCCAGACAUCGUUCUCAAUGAAAUAAAAUGACUACAAAAUUAUUUUAUUUAAGAGAAUUUUAAGUAAGUUGUUUCAGCAAAACCCGUUCUCAAAAUAAAAACAAUACAAAAUAAGUUUAUUUAUAAGAAUUUUAAGUAAAUUGUAUUUUAAUAAACUGAUUAUAGAAAAUGUAAAAUACAUAUAAUCAAAACACAAAGUCUGACUAUUGAAAAAAAAUAUAUAAUUAAUCACCCGCUGGUUGAAAUGUUGUCAGUAAAAGCCAGGUUGUUUAACUUUCUAAAAAGCCGGUUUGAUAAGAUGUCAGAUUGUUUAUUUGAUUUGAUUAUAGUGGAACAAAGCCUCACUUCUCUAAUAAUUUUGCUGCAAAAUACAAAAUUCAGGAAUCUGAUUACAUUCUAAACAUUCAAGUCUGGACUUUUGGAUUAGGAUAUGGAUGGUAUAAUGGAUUAAUGUACCAGAUUCAUAUUUAUGUUUCUCAUAAGUAGCAUAGACUUCUUUGACAGAUUCCAUUAGCUAAAUGCUUCUCAUGAGGUGUAGCUUGUGAUGUUACUUAAGUGUAACAUGACCUAUUGCCCUUUAUUGAACAAAGAUACCCAAUAGUCAGAGAACCAUUAUGAAUGUUAACAUGUUAGUUAACAUAAAUUUUUACAUUUCGCUUCUAGCAUUCAAAGUGGAAAAGAUGCUACACUUAUAGAAACAAACAGCUGACUUCUCAUGUUGUCUAAAACCAACAAAUAUAUAAACUUUGAUGUGUUUAAAUUCGGAUUGAUCUGUCAAAUGGCUGCUUAUGUAUGCCUGAACUUGGUUCGUAUGUUCUUUGUGCCUCACAUGUAAAGCAUCAAUCAUUUCACGCAAGUGUUUGGCCUCCUCUUUCAUCAUAUCGAAAAUGUUAGACAACUGUAUGUUGGCAUCUGCAAAAAAAAAAACGGUGAAUUGUCUUUAGUAGUUAAAAAAAUCAAUAAUUGGCAAACUAAUUAACGAACCUUUUGCCGAUUUCAUAGAAAGUGAAUUUUCUGAUAUGCUUACCGCUUUUGCCCUCUGUUUAGCAAUGGUGUUUUGAAAAAGUCCCAUCAACUCCAUAGUAGAGGAGUGACGCAAAGCAAGAGCUUCUUCAACCUUUUUUACAAUAUCAUCCGCUAUUUCUAGUAUCUAAGGGAUCUACUUGCAGAAGUCUACACAUAAACGUUUCAUCAGCAAGACAUGGUGGAGCUGAAGGAGACAUAUAUUGUAAUUUGUUACGCAGAUGUAAUCAACUAUUAUGCUUAAAGAAGAGAGGGAGUUUAGAGCCUCUUGAUUAGCCCCAACACGAACUCCUAGCAAUGUCAGAUCAUCCACCAACUAAAUCGUCAAAAAGCACAAAUAAAACCAUAGACCCUCCGAAUUAAUUAUCGAGCAAUGCAAUUAGUCGUUCUACAAAGACAGAAAGGCACACGACCACCGGGAAACCAAGUAAUUGCUGACAUGAUUCCAAAACCGGUUAACUGAGAUAAGUUCAUCAAAAUAAUAUGUUUCGUUGAUCUGCAACUUGGUUUUAACAUCGUAGAACUGUUUCUUCUAUUGGUUUAAUUGAUGGACCAAUUUCUGAUUCUGAAGCUGUAAAACGGUUGAGGAAGUCAACCUGAACAAGAAAAAGAAACCAAGUGCUAAUAUCGCCGGUUCGAAUAGCGCUUGGGACGAAACCAUAUAACAUGCUUUGAUUUCGGGCCUGAAGGGAUGUAUGGGCUUCGGCCCGGAACUUUUGAUAAAAAAAAAAAAUCCUUAUUUCCAUCAUUUUAAAACUGCAAUGAUACACACAACACAUUGGCACACCAGCUUACAUAAUCUCUAGAAGCCAGCUUAUCUUACUUGAAAUCCAAAUCCAAUUUCUUCUCAAAGACAACUUCUUCUUCUUCUUGCGGCGAGAGGAGAGAUAAUAGGUCAAAUUAAAAUUACUAUUUUAGAAAAAGAAAAAAAUAUCUCUAAUGUGUCCAACAGGAUCCGCGUGGCUUUUAAAACGGGUCAAAACUAAAUGCACGGGUCUUAUUUUUUCCAAUUGGAUCUUUUAAUUAAGCUCCAAUAAUACAAUUAUACCCUCUUUAAUUUUAAUUAAGUGUCUCUAAUACAACUAAUUGAAUGGCAAUUUUGUAAUAUUUUACAACAUUUUAGACAUGCUUAAUUUUGUACUUCUCUUUUAAUUAAAAGAAGAUGUUGUAACGGGUUAUCAACUAAACCUAAUUUCAAAAUGGUUCAUCAAAUUAACCUAAUUUCGAAAUGGCUACAAUGAUUCAGUUAAAUGGGUGCAAUGAUCUACUCGAAUAUAUUUUGUUGAUUAAAAACUCAAUAAAAAAUUGUAAUCAGUGAAGAGUUAUCUUAAUUGGUAAAUCUGUCAACGCAUAUGAAAAUAAAUUAGAUUAGAUAUGUUAAGACAACAUCAGAAUUUGUAGUAAUGUUAAUGUAACAUCAAAUUUUCAAUAUAUGAAAAAAAUUGUUAAAUAAAAAACUCACAGUAUAAGCUGCUGUUCAAUUAUCAGAAGAAAGUUGUGAUAUCUCAUAUUUAAAAUUAAGAUAUUAAAUUAUUAUAGUUCCAAAAAAUUAUCAUUUAGAUCAAGAAUUAUAAAAAUAAACUUAAAAUGAUGUAUGUUAAGAAAAUAUGCAACUAUCAGUGACAUUUAUUUUGAUAUUGCUAAAAAAAGGAAAAAAAAAUUAUCUUACAAAAGAGUGCGACAUCAACUGUUAGUGGUAUUUAUUCAGAUUGCUAUUAUAAUUCUCAAUUUCUCAUCGUCUUUUUUUUUUUUUUAUUACCGUAACAUCUCCAUGCAUGACUUACCGUAUCAAGCUGAAGGAACACUUGCCGAUAAACAGUAUUCUAGUACAUGACAACUUAAGACAGCUAAACGAACAUGACGUUUCUGUCUAUUUGCCUAUUAACUACGAUCUUUGGAAUCUUAUCAUAAUUUUUCUUUUUUUUUAUGUCUUAUCACAAUUCAGUGAACAACAACCAGAAAUUUCAAUAUCCAUCUUGUAUACAAAAAGUCUUCGUCUAUGCAAGUCUUCUAGGAAAGGAAGCCCAUUUCUCUCUCUUUUCUCAUACUAUAUAUGUACACUGCUAGUUGUGUAGUGCUGAUUUACUUAUCCUAAAACACUUGGUGAUCUCUUCUCUCUAUUUUCUCCCAUGGCGGCUUGUUCUUCUGUCAGCUAUAGAUACGACGUUUUCCCAAGCUUCAGUGGGGUAGAUGUUCGCAAGACGUUCCUCAGCCAUCUUCUCAAGGCUCUCGACGGCAAAUCUAUCACUACAUUCAUGGAUAAUGAUAUUGAGAGAAGCAGCCCAAUCGGCCCUUCGCUAUUAACUGCGAUAGCAGAAGCGAGGAUCUCAAUCGUCAUCUUCUCUAAGAACUAUGCGUCUUCGACGUGGUGCUUAAAUGAAUUGGUUGAGAUUCACAAGUGCUAUAAGAAUUCAGGUCAAAUAGUGAUUCCGGUUUUCUACAACGUUGAUCCUUCGGAAGUUGGAAAACAGACCGGUGAUUUUGGUAAGGUCUUUGAAGAGACAUGCGUGGUCAUCAAGGAAAAACAACCAGAGGAUCAGAAACAAAUAUGGAUAGAAGCUCUCACAGAUAUAGCAAAAAUAGCCGGAGAGGAUCUUCUGAACGGGUAUGUUGUUUUGAUUCCAUUACAGUAUUUCUGUUAAAAUAUUAUUUGUGAAAUUUAAGUAGCUUGAUACAGAUUUGGCCAAAAAUAACUAAAGUAACCCUCUGUUUUUGGUUAUUAUUAGAAUGACAUAAUAUUUAUGUCAAAAGUCCAAAAAAUCUAAACCUUAAAAAUGGCAAGUAAGAGAAAAAUUCUGUCAUACAUAUAUUAAGUAUAUAUGGCAUAAUAAGCUGAACAAAUUUAUAAUAGUUUUUGUAUUAUAAUUUUAUUUUUCAAAAUAUAUAUGAAAAUUAAAAUUAUGUAAGAAAUUUAAAAAUACAUAAUAUAGAAAUAAUCAAAACAUAGCGCUAAAAAAAGAAAUAAUCAAAACAUAAAAUUUAUGUUUAUUUUUAUUAAAUUUAUAAACGAAAAUAAUUAAAAAUAUAUAAAAAACUAAAUGGAAAUUUUAUUUAUCAUAAUACAUAAAUAAAAAUUAUCAAACAAGUUAAGUUCAAAAUGUAAUAAAUUUUUAAAACAUGAAAAUUUUAAACUUAAGAACUUAAAAUUGAAAAUUAUUGUUUGCCUAUUGGGCAAGUAGGCUAUUGGUUCUCACAUCUGUUUGCCUUCUCAUUAGAUCUGGGUUCGAAUUCAGUCCCUGUCAAAGAGACACUUAUUAUUUGUAAUGAUGUCAAAAAAAAAAAAAUGAAAAUUAUUGUUAAACAAUAAUCGAUCAUAAUAAGCCACACUAAAUUUGUUAUUAUUCCUUUUAAUCACUAUAUCCAUUUCACUGAUUAACUUUUUAAAAUCUUAAAUUUAAUAUAUAAAAAUCAUAGAAAAGAAAAAGAGGAAUUCCUCAAAAUACCAUCAUUUUGGUUUUCUUUCCAAAAAUACCACUAAAAUCAAAUUAUUGUUCAAUGGUAUAGAAUUUUAAAUCUUUGGUUUGGGUUGAUUAUUUGCAAUUUAGGGUAUAGUAUUUAGGGGGUAGGGUUUAAUGUUUAGAAUUUAUAAUUUAGAGUUUGAAAUUUAAAUUUUAGUUUUAGUCUUGUGGUAUUUUUGUCCUAAAAAAAAAAUGAUGGUAUUUUAGAGAAUGACCCAAAGAAAAAAUAUAAAAACUUUUCAUCAUUAUAUCUAAUAAACAAAUCAGUCAUAUAAUUAAAACAAAGGCGGAUUUGCACAACUAACAUUUUUAUGAUACCUUUUUCUACAAUUUUCAGCAAAAACUUUUCCGCAAUUCCUUAAAAAACAUUUUCAAACACAUUAUAAAUAGUUUUAAAUCCCUUAAAAAUCAUUUUAAAAACCUUGUAAAUCUUUUAAAAGUCAUCCAAAACCUUUCAAAACUUCACUAAACCUUUUAAAACCAUUGUAAAACAUUUUAUAACAUUUAUAAACACUUGUAAUCCCUUUAAACCCCUUAUAACCGUGAUAAAUCAUUUAAUAAAAACUUUUGUAAACUUCUAAAACCCUUUAAAACCCUUGUAAAUACUUAAAAACCAUUUUAAAGAACUUGUAAUACCUUUAAAAGUUUUAUAAACCUUUUAAAAACCUUUCUAAACUUCUAAAAUCCUUUACAACCCCUUGUAAUCCUUUAAAACUAUUUUUAAAUCCUUGUAUAUCUUUAAAAACACUUAUAAAUCCUUUUAAAAACACUUGUAAAUCCUUUUAAAAAACCUUUAAAAAUCCUUGUAAAUUUUAAAAAUCUUUUAAAAAUCCUUUUAAUCCUUUUCAAACUGUUAUAAACUUAUAAAAACUUUUAAAAACCAUUGUAAAUCAUUUUAAAACCAUUCAAAAACCUUUGUAAGCUUCUAAAACCCUUUACAAAACAAUUACAAAUCUCUUAAAAACCAUUUAAAAACUCUUGUAAAUUCCUUUAAAAACCCUUGUAAACCCUUUAAAAGACCCUUUAAAAAUUCUAGUAAACCCGUUAAAAAACUUUGCGGGAAAAUUUGGUAAAAAAUUAUUUCGCGGGAAAAUUUGUGCGGAAAUUUUUUUGGAGGGAAACUUUUUGCGGGAAAGUUUUUGGCGGGAAAUUUUUGGGGGGAAAACUUUUGGAAGGAAUAUUUCUUCCUUUGGGAAAAAAUAUUCUUUAAACUAGGGGUAAAAUGACCAUUAAAAUUUAAGAGAGGGCAAAAAUGAAAAUGGCAAAAAGGGUAUUUUUUAAAAAAGUAUCAUAAAAAGGUUAUUAGUAUCAAUUUCUCUAAAACAAAUAUGUUGUCACUAUAUGUACAUCUAUAAAUAUGUUAUAUAACAACAGAUUUUUAGAAAUAAAAAUAAAACUGUCAUAAUGUCAAUAAAUCUAUCAUAACAUAAAAAACAAAAAUUAUCUCAACGUAGGUCAUUCUAGUAAUUUUAAUAUUUUUUAACAAAUCUGUUAUCAAACGAAAGAUUUUUAGUUAAAUUUAAAAAUAUGUCGUAACUUUAAAUAAAUCUGUUAUCACUAGACGUCAAAUUAGUAAUUAUUUUCCGUAAGCAAAUCUGUCACAAUACGACGAAUUUUAAACGAAACUUUUCGAGGAAUCCUUCAUCAGUGGUUGUGAAUGACUGAUUUUUCUCAAUCUUUUCGACCAAUAAAUCUGAAGCAACUGUGAAAAAUAAAUAUGCCAGACAUUAUAACAAGUCUGUCAUAUAUUACAAAAAUUUGUGGUGUCUUCAUAAAUAAGUCUGUCGUAUAAAUUAAAUUUUUCACUAAUUAUAAUAGGUCACUAAUUAUAAAUCUGUCGUAACUCGUAACUAUCCUUAAAUAAAUCUGUCAUUCAAAAUAAAUCUACCGAAGAAAAUCUGUCAUGUAAACAUAAAUCUGUCGUAAACAAACAAAUCUGUCACAACUACUCUGGCAGACUUUCAAUAUUAUUUUCAAAAUCGCUGAUUUUUUUUCCUAACAAAGCAAAAAGGGAUAUUAUGGUCAUGAAAAGUACUCAAUUAACCCAUAUUAUUUUUCUCUGCAUAGACUUCGAUUGUGCAUGUCUGGGUGCCUCUUUUUGGUUGACACAAGUACUCAAUAUUGUUAUUAAUUAGGUCUAGUGAAGCAGCCAUGGUUGAAAAGAUAGCUAAUGAUGUUUCGAAUAAACUUACCUCAUCCACGAAUUGUUUUGAUGAAUUCGUCGGCAUCGAAGCUCGUUUAAAGGAAAUGGAACCAUUAUUGUCCUUAAAAUCCAAGGAAGCUAGAAUGAUUGGGAUUUGGGGGCCUUCCGGGAUUGGUAAGAGUACCAUUGGAAAAGCUCUAUACAAUCGACUCAUUAACCAAUUCCACUUUCACGCUUUCAUACCUCAUGUCUAUAGCAACGAGUCUGAAUGGGAGGACAAAUUUCUGUCAGAGAUUCUAGGUAAGUAUACAAAGAUAGGAGGGAAGUUAGGUGUAGUGGAGCAAAUGCUUAACAAGAAGAAAGUUCUUGCGGUUCUUGAUGAUGUGGAUGAUCCAAAGUUUCUUAAGACCUUGGUGGGGAAAACUAAAUGGUUUGGACCUGGAAGCAGAAUUAUUGUGAUCUCUGAAGAUAAGCGAAUUCUUGAUAAGGCUCAUGAUGUUGACCAUUUAUACGAGGUGAAGUUCCCAUCUCAAGAUAUUGCUCUUAAGAUGUUAUGUCAGACUGCUUUUGGGAAGAACUCUCCACCUAAUGAUUUUAAGGAACUAGUUGUUCAAGUUGCGAAGCUUGCCUAUAAUCUUCCUUUGGGUCUCAGUAUCUUGGGUUCGUCUUUAAGGAAAAGGGGGGAAAAAGAGUGGAUGAAAAUCAUGCCUCAACUCCAAAAUGAUUUGGAUGAAAAAAUUGAGAAACCAUUAAGAAUCAGGUUUGACAGGUUAAGUGAAAAAGAUCGAGAGUUAUUUCUGUACGUUGCAUGUUUUUUCAAUGGUUGUAGAGUCCGUUACAUCGAAGAUUUCCUUUGCAAUAAUGUUGGGCUUAAACCGUUGAUUGAUAAGUCCCUCGUACGUAUUACACCACAAGGAUAUAUAGAGAUGCACAAUUUUGUAGAGAAGUUGGGUAUUAAAAUUGAUCGCGCAGAGUCUAAAGGUAAUCCUGGAAAAUCUCGAUUUCUGAAGAAUGCUGAGGAAAUUCUAGAAGUAUUUACUCAUAAAACUGUAAGUUUUUUUCGCAACUAUAUUUUAAUGCAUCACCUUAUAAUUUACUUCCGGUAUAAAUUAUAAUCGUUUAAAGUUUUGACACACAUAUUAAAAGAAAAAAAAAUAUGUUUUACAUUUUUAUUAUUAUACUGUACAUUAGAUUAGUAAGAAUAAUUUGUUGCUAUAUGACUAGACUAAUAGUUGUUCUCUUGCGAUAUUUGUUUUUUGCAGGGAACAGAAACUGUGGUCGGAAUAUUCUUCAAAGCAUCAGAACUUAGUAAUGAAUUUAUUUCAAUUGAUGGAGACUCCUUCAAAGGCAUGGCUAAUCUCCAAUUUCUAAAAAUCCAUAACUAUUCCUUGUGGUCAUCGACUGAAACCUGUAUAGUGCAUCUACCUUACGGCCUCGACUACUGGCCACGUAAACUUAAAUGGCUAGAGUGGAAUAGUUUUCCAUUGAAGUAUUUGCCUCGUAGUUUUAAUACUGACCAUCUCGUUGAACUCAGCAUGGAGAACAGUAAGCUUACGAGGCUAUGGGAUGGAACUCAGGUAACAAUCAUGCAUUGUGUUAAUUAGUUGUAGGUAUAUUACUAUAUUUAGUAACAUGCAUGCAUGUUUUAAAUCUUUUUCAAAAAUGUUUAUGAACGUGUGUGUUUUCUCUUUUUCCAUAUUUUGAUUUCAGCCACUAGGAAGCCUCAAGAAGAUGGAUUUAAGUCGGUCCAAAUAUUUGAAAGAAGUUCCAAAUCUUUCUAAGGCAAUAAACCUCGAAGAAUUAGAUCUUCAUGGAUGCAUAUCUUUGGUGAAGCUUCCUCGCUCGAUUCAGGUCACCAUUAAACUGAGGAAGUUAAAUAUGCGUGGUUGCAUCGAGCUAAAGAGUUUUCCUACGCAUCUCAAAUUGAAAUCUCUCCACGACCUCGAUCUCACUUUUUGUCAUAAUUUGACAAAUUUUCCCGUAAUUAAAAUGGAGAAUUCAAUCCAUAUGCCAUAUGAAGUUGAGAUCCGUGUAGAUGAUUGUUUAUGGAACAGGAAUCUUUAUGACACAAUGUGGAACAGAGAUCUCCAUGGACUCGACUAUCUCGGCUGCCUUAAAAGAUGCUUACCAUGUGAAUUUCGUCCGGAAUAUCUCGUUCGUCUCGUAGUGAUAGGCAACAAAAAGCUUGAGAAGCUAUGGGAAGGCGUCCAGGUAACGUUCUUAAUGUUUAUAGCAUUUACUGAUUCUUGUUUCACAAUAACCAAAAUUGUCAAUAUGGCUUGUGAUCCACGGUUUGAUUUUACAUACAUACACACAUAAAUAGUAAUUUUUAACACACGUAGGUAUACAAUUGAAUUGAUUAUAUAGUUCAUAAUGAUCCAAUUUUUUUCUGGUUUUAAUUUCAGUCCCUUGGAAGUCUCAUAGAGAUCGAUCUGUCAGAAUGUACAAAGUUGAGAGAAGUUCCAGAUCUAUUCAAGGCCAUCAAUCUGAGGAGUUUGAAACUCAACAAAUGUGAAAGUUUGGUGACUUUACCUUCUACAAUUGGGAAUCUAAAAUUCUUAGAGAGGUUGGAAAUGAGAGGGUGCAUAUUGCUGGAGGUUCUUCCAACCGAUGUCACCUUGUUAUCUCUCGAAAUCCUCGAUCUUAGUGGUUGCUUACGUUUGAGAAAUUUUUCCUCGGAUUCCAUGGAGUAUCGAAAAGCUCUAUUCCGAAAACACGCGC
rnacentral:lncRNA from 1 species